rnacentral:lncRNA from 1 species
UAAAAAAAAAAAAAAUCACUCUAGGGUCGCCGCUACGUUAGGUUAGGCAAGUGCGCAGCUGCUGGCGGCGCGUUGAUAACAUGAAGCGAUCUAAUAAACCAUCCGGUGCACAGGGACGAAAACGGAGAAAGGAUGAAGAGAAAAAGAAAGCCCAGUAUAGAGCUGCAGGAGUAGGGACAUCCAGUAGUAGUACUCCAGGGACCAGUGACACACAGGCCAGGAACACACAGCCUGCAUCAAGUGAAGGUGAAGGGACACCCAGGACCACAUCAAGCACUCAGGGCACCAGUGAAAGACAGACGACUGAGACCAGGGACACACAGCCUGAAGGAAGUUAGUCCUUUGAAUAACUAAUUCAAACUUACAACCAUCUGACAAUAUUUACUAAAAGAUAAUGAAAACACAUGGAAAUCACAAUAACAUCCCAUCCCUCUUAUUUCUUAUUUCAACCACAGUUUUAGUAAUUUUCACUAAUUUAGUUUAACCCCACUGAUCUGGCUGUUGCAGGUGAAGGGGCCACAUCUAGCAUUCCAGGCACCAGUGAAACACAGACCACUGCGACCAGGGAUACUCAGCCUGAAGCAAGUAAGACCCUUGAAUACCGUUUAUUUAACCACAAUUUAAAACUUCAGUGACUUGUUUCCAAGUAAAACCAAG